rnacentral:rRNA from 1 species
UACGGAGGGGGCUAGCGUUGUUCGGAAUUACUGGGCGUAAAGCGCACGUAGGCGGCUUUGUAAGUUAGAGGUGAAAGCCCGGGGCUCAACUCCGGAAUUGCCUUUAAGACUGCAUCGCUCGAAUUGUGGAGAGGUAAGUGGAAUUCCGAGUGUAGAGGUGAAAUUCGUAGAUAUUCGCAAGAACACCAGUGGCGAAGGCGGCUCACUGGCCCGGUACUGACGCUGAGGCACGAAAGCGUGGGGAGCAAACAGG